rnacentral:lncRNA from 1 species
AUUUUUUCAUUUUCUAGGUUUAUUGUUUGCUGAUUUGCUGCUCAGUUGUCUUUUCUGUUUGACUACAUUAAACUCUAUACUUGAACCACGAUUCUAAAGAAAAGUUCAGUACAAAAGUUAGAGUCCUUUAGACAAAGAACUAAUAUGAGGAUUCUGUCCUUUGAUUGCCUCAGAUAUUACUGACUGAUGGGACAGAACAAGGCAAUAAUAUGGAAUCUGAACAUAGACAAAAAUACAAAUUGGCAGUUCCUGGAUGAAUGUUAAGCAACUGCUGUAUGAAAGACUCAAAAUUUAAACACACUACAGAUUUUGCAACAAACAAGAUUGUCAAACUACAAUAUCAAGAAAAACCAAAAAGUACUGACACAAGGCUCAGAGUGCUGGAUGAUAAGUUAGUCUUCAAAGAUGAUGUCAAAGCAGCCCUUCCUGGUGAACUUACCUACAAGAAUGCAGAAAUUGAGAAACCACCACACCGAAAUGCAUGCCAAACCACCUAUGGAAACUGUCCAAGAGCCGUGACACUGUAAAAACU